CGGGAUAUAGCGCAGUUUGGUAGCGCGCCUGCUUUGGGAGCAGGAUGUCGCAGGUUCGAAUCCUGCUAUCCCGA
rnacentral:tRNA from 1 species